CGCAAGCAGAGAGGAAGGAGGGGACGACGUCAAGUCAUCAUGGCCCUUACGUCCAGGGCUACACACGUGCUACAAUGGCGUGUACAGAGUGUUGCGAGGCAGUGAUGCCAAGCCAAUCACUAAAAGCACGUCACAGUUCGGAUUGCAGGCUGCAACUCGCCUGUAUGAAGCUGGAAUCGCUAGUAAUCGCGCAUCAGCAAUGGCGC
rnacentral:rRNA from 1 species